AUUUGUUAUUCUGUAGAAGGUAUUUUGAUAUAAAGUAUUGUAUUGAUAGUAUUUGGUUAAAAAUACGUUGAUAAUAUUGUGUUAAUAUAUAGUAUGUUGAUAAUAUUGUGUUUUAAUAGUUUG